rnacentral:lncRNA from 10 species
GCCUGAAUCCAUCAUUACCAGGGUGGUGAUUUUCCAACACCAGCCCUCCCUCCAUGCUGACCAGCAGGCCCUCAGCAUCCUACUGCCAGCCAGCACUCUUCCUUCUCCCCAAGAAUUUGUCUUUAUUGUUGGAAUGGACUCAGGAUUUCUGUUUAUUCAGUGGUUUAUAACUCGCUGCUGAUCUUAUUUUGGUGCUCAAGUUGUCCUAGAUGAGGCCAGUGAGACUCCCUUCAGUUGACUCCUGCAUCCUUGUGACAUGCCUCCAUUUUUUUUUUUUAGCACUUAUUUGCUUUUUGGUGUAGUAGGAUGUUCCAAGCCCAUCUCCUUUCUACCCUUCCUCAGCCCUGAAAUUGGCCAUGUCUUUGAAGAACUGGUUCCUUUUAGUGGGUAAUGGCAUUAGAGACCAAGAUAGGGUGCCAGUUGAGGUGUCUUCUGCUGAGCUAUGAAAUAUAUGUGCAUAUGAUUGCACACAGGUCACACACAAAGGUGUGUCUGUGCACAUACACGUACAUAUCCAGUAAGACCUCCAACUCAAUUCAUGACUUCCUCCAGCCCAUAUUUUUAUGUGUCUUCUUUAACACUGAGAACCCUGACACCCCAAAAUUCAGCAUUUUACUAAUUUGAUGAAUCUUAAAAUAACUCUAAUAUAGUUUCAGAAUUUCCUUUCCCAAACCACUACCAAAAGUGAACUGAUUGAGAUUUCAGGAUUUGUUUGCUGUUCUCCUACCACUACCACCCUGCCCAGGAUGUAAGGAGCACAAAUGGAUGUUUUAUUAAGCUAGACAUUCCCACUUGUUAACCUCAGGGGCAGCUGGGCUGGUUCAGGCAUUUGAGGCAGUGGGUCUCAGCUCCCAUACAACAGUGUGGCAACGUGGACCAGCAAGAAAGAUGGGUGGGGUGAGGCAGGAGAGGGUGGCUCAGGUCUGUCCAGUGGAGUUGGCAGGGAUGGGAUGUGUGCGAAAGGACACAGAGCUCUCUAGGGGGCAAGGGAAAACCCCAGGCAGGUUGGCAGUGAAGAGGGGUAGAGUUCAGGGUGGGUUUAUACAGGGUGUCGGAAGGUAGCUGUGUUCUAAGUAAGUAGGAAAAGCAAAUGAGAGAUGGACACCUGGAAAGAUGGGAAUACAUUUCAAUGGGAAAAUGCUUAAACACCCUCUGGUACGAGCUGAAUUAAAUGUCAUAUGUUGAAGCCUUAACCCACAAUCUGAUGAUAUGUGGAGACAAGGCCUUUGGGGAGGUAAAUAGGCUAAAUGAGGUCGUUGGAGUGGCGCCUGCAUCCAAUAGGACUAGUGUCCUUAUAAGAAAAGCAAGAGGCUGGGCGAGGUGACUCACACUUGUAACCCCAGCACUUUAGGAGGCUGAGGCAGAGGGAUCCCUUGAGCCCAGGAGCCAGCCUGGGCAACACAGCUAGACCUCGUCUCUACAAAAAACUUAAAAAUUAGCUGGGUGUGGUGGCAUGUACCUGUAGUCCCAGCUGCGUGGGGGGCCGAGGUGGGAGGAUGACAUGAGCCCUGGAGGUCAAAGCUGCAGUGAGCUGUGAUACACCACGCACUCCAACCUGGGUGACAGAGCAAGACGCUGUCUCAAAAAAAGAGAGGGAGGACCACGCACAGUGGCUCACGCCUGUACCAGCACUUCGGGAGGCUGAGGCAGGUGCAGACACAGCAGGAUGGCAACCAUCUACAAGCUUG